rnacentral:rRNA from 1 species
AACAAACGCUGGCGGCGUGCCUAACACAUGCAAGUCGUACGAGAAAGGGUCCUUCGGGGCCUGAGUAAAGUGGCGCACGGGUGAGUAACGCGUGGAUAAUCUGCCCUUCAGUUGGGAAUAACUCAUCGAAAGGUGGGCUAAUACCGAAUAAUGCUGUGAGACCUCGGUUGAUCAGCCAAAGAGAGCCUCUGCUUGCAAGCCCUCGCUGAAGGAUGAGUCCGCGUACCAUUAGCUAGUUGGUAGGGUAAUGGCCUACCAAGGCGACGAUGGUUAGCUGGUCUGAGAGGAUGAUCAGCCACACUGGAACUGAGACACGGUCCAGACUCCGACGGGAGGCAGCAGUGAGGAAUCUUGCGCAAUGGGGGCAACCCUGACGCAGCGACGCCGCGUGAGUGAGGAAGGUCUUCGGAUCGUAAAGCUCUGUCGGAUGGAAAGAACCGCAUAGGGGUAAACAGCCCCUGUGUCUGACGGUACCAUCAAAGGAAGCACCGGCUAACUCCGUGCCAGCCGCCGCAGUAACAC